AACUGUGAGCGGUGGAUAAUUUGGCUCAUGUGGUGAUGAAGAAUGCAGCUAGCUGCAAGAACUAAUGUGAAUUGUAGGAUGCAUUGAUCAUCAACACUUCAAACUCACUUUGUGGCCCUGAGCUACUCCUGGGCUACACCUGUCUGAGGGUCA